rnacentral:rRNA from 1 species
AUACGGAGGGUGCAAGCGUUAUUCGGAAUCACUGGGCGUAAAGGACGCGUAGGCGGGUUGGCAAGUCAGAUGUGAAAUCCUACAGCUUAACUGUAGAACUGCAUUUGAAACUGCUACCCUAGAGUAUGGGAGGGGGAGAUGGAAUUAGUGGUGUAGGGGUAAAAUCCGUAGAUAUCACUAGGAAUACCGAAAGCGAAGGCGAUCUCCUGGAACAUAACUGACGCUAAGGCGUGAAAGCGUGGGGAGCAAACAGGAUUAGAUACCCUAGUAGUCC